CAACGCAGCAAAAACAACGAAUUCGAAAAUCACUCUGCUCUGCCUCUCCUCUAUGCGGCUUCUGAAAAGGGGGCAAUGGCAGCGUUGGAUUUCGCAAAAUGUGAAAUCAGUCGGUGCUCAUUCUGCUGGCAGUGGCAAUAGUGUGUUUUCGUUCGAGACACUGACAGCUGAACCAGAUCGGGUUAGUCAUCAUUGACAGUCAAUGCUACGUCUCUGAGUGAUGGCUGUCCUUACGGAGAUAGAAUUAGGUGCUAACUGGAUGCUUGGUGAAGUCGACGAUCCUAUGAUCUAUAUAAGAAGGGUCUACUCAUCAUCAAGAUGUACAUUUACACGAAAAGCAGUCUAUUAUUGGGCCGCUCUGUGGCUACUUGCAUGUUGAGGCACUACUCACUACUUACAAGAUCUCGUCUGGACCACUCUCGUCAAGCUAUUCAGUCUCAACCUUAUGCAGGUUGGUGUAUCACAUUGGGGUAGUCAUCCUUCCAUACAUCAGAGGUUCAUACUGUGGUUGUUCACACACACACAUUGGACAAGAGAGGAGUUUGAUGUCCUGAAUAAACCCGGCAAUCAUUGAGGAAAGCCAAGGAGAUGA